CAAAACGUAGCUUAAGAAAAGCAUCUAGCUUACACCUAGAAGACAUCAUGAUUAUGAUCGAUUUGA
ensembl:Mt_tRNA